rnacentral:rRNA from 1 species
AUAUAUAGUACCGAAGUCCGGCUGGAAGAGAGGCGAGAAAAGCUGUGUGUAUAUCUAAGGUGCCCGUACCGCAAACCGACACAGGUAGGUAGGAAGAAGAUUCUAAGGCCAACGGGAGAAGGGUUGUUAAGGAACUCGGCAAGUUGACCCCGUAACUUCGGAAUAAGGGGUGCUCACGAGAGUGAGCCGCAGAGAAUAGGCCCAGGCAACUGUUUACCAAAAACACAGGUUUGUGCUAAAUCGAAAGAUGACGUAUACGAGCUGACGCCUGCCCGGUGCUGGAAGGUUAAAAGGAGAUGUGCAAGCAUUGAAUUGAAGCCCCAGUGAACGGCGGCCGUAACUAUAACGGUCCUAAGGUAGCGAAAUUCCUUGUCAGGUAAGUUCUGACCCGCAUGAAAGGCGUAAUGAUCUGGGCACUGUCUCAACAGCCCGCCCGGCGAAAUUGUAGUACCGGUGAAGAUGCCGGUUACCCGCGACAAGACGGAAAGACCCCAUGGAGCUUUACUGUAGCCUGAUAUUGGGUUUCGGUGUUGCAUGCACAGGAUAGAUGGGACACUGGGAAGGCAGUGCUUUGGCAUUGCUGGAGUGGACGUUGGGAUACCAUCCUUGCGACAUUGGAAUUCUAACCUGCGCCUCUGAAGCGAGGCGGGGGACAUUGUCAGGUGGGCAGUUUGACUGGGGCGGUCGCCUCCUAAAAAGUAGCGGAGGCGUUCAAAGGUUCGUUCGAUCUGGACGGAAACCAGAUGAUUGAGUGCAAACGCAUAAACGAGCCUGACUGCGAGACUGACGGGUCGAGCAGAGACGAAAGUCGGAGUUAGUGAUCCGGUGGUAUGUGAGUGGAAAUGCCAUCGCUCAACGGAUAAAAGUUACCCUGGGAUAACAGGCUGAUCUCCCCCAAGAGUCCACAUCGACGGGGAGGUUUGGCACCUCGAUGUCGGCUCAUCGCAUCCUGGGGCUGAAUUCGGUCCCAAGGGUUUGGCUGUUCGCCAAUUAAAGCGGUACGCGAGCUGGGUUCAGAACGUCGUGAGACAGUUCGGUCCCUAUCUGUCGUGGGCGCAGGAUAUUUGAAAGGCGCUGUCCCUAGUACGAGAGGACCGGGAUGGACGAACCUCUGGUGCACCAGUUGUCACGCCAGUGGCACAGCUGGGCAGCUAUGUUCGGAUCGGAUAAACGCUGAAAGCAUCUAAGCGUGAAGCCGGCCUUAAGAUAAGAUAUCCCACUGAGUCAAUCAGGUAAGACCCCUUGAAGACUACAAGGUUGAUAGGCACACAGUGUAAGCGGAGUGAUCCGUUCAGCUAGCGUGUACUAAUAGGUCGAGGGCUUGACCG